rnacentral:rRNA from 1 species
CGGACGGGUGAGUAACGCGUGGGUAACCUGCCUUGUACUGGGGGACAACAGUUGGAAACGACUGCUAAUACCACAUAAGCGCACAGCUUCGCAUGAAGCAGUGUGAAAAACUCCGGUGGUACAAGAUGGACCCGCGUCUGAUUAGCUGGUUGGUGAGGUAACGGCCCACCAAGGCGACGAUCAGUAGCCGGCCUGAGAGGGUGAACGGCCACAUUGGGACUGAGACACGGCCCAA